UGGCAGGCUUCCUCCUGCUCCUGACCGUCAUCAUCCUCAGCCUGGAGAUGCAGGAGUUUCAGGCUGCGGUGCUACCAUAUAGUGUGAUGGGCGCCUGCGUGGAACUCUGCAGCGGGACCUGGGACUGCGACCCGGGGGAGCGCUGUGUCAGCAACGGGUGUGGCCACGUCUGUGCUGCAGACUAGGCACAGAUGAAGAUUUAUCUCAAGGGUCACCCCUUUCUAGUUUCUCACCCCUUCUUGGAGUUCCUGUCUUCAAAGAUGCAGUUGUUCGGAG